UAGNNGNUNUNNUUUUCCNNGAAACCGAGGUCAACNUCGGCNUNCGGUGGNUACGGNCAGCUAGAGUNUGGUAGGGAGACUNGAACUCCUGGUGUAGCGGUGAAAUGCGCAGAUAUCAGGAAGAACACCGAUGGCGAAGGCAGGUCUCUGGGCCAUUACUGACACUGAGGAGCGAAAGCAUGGGUAGCGAANCAGGAUUAGAUACCCUGGUAGUCCAUGCCGUAAACGUUGGGCACUAGAUGUGGGGGACAUUCCACGUUUUCCGCGUCGUAGCUAACGCAUUAAGUGCCCCGCCUGGGGAGUACGGCCGCAAGGCUAAAACUCAAAGGAAUUGACGGGGGCCCGCACAAGCGGC
rnacentral:rRNA from 1 species